GGAUGAACGCNGGCGGCGNNNCUCAGGACGAACGCUGGCGGCGUGCCUAACACAUGCAAGUCGAGCGAGGGGAGUUCNNNGGAACAAGAUUAGCGGCGGACGGGUGAGUAACACGUGGGUAACCUGCCUCAUAGAGGGGAAUAGCCUCCCGAAAGGGAGAUUAAUACCGCAUAAAGUUANNNNNUCGCAUGAAGAGAUAACCNNAGGCUCCGGUGGUAUGAGAUGGACCCGCGUCUGAUUAGCUAGUUGGAGGGGUAACGNNNCACCAAGGCGACGAUGCGUAGCCGACCUGAGAGGGUGAUCGGCCACAUUGGAACUGAGACACGGCCCAGACUCCUACGGGAGGCAGCAGUGGGGAAUANUGCACAAUGGGGGAAACCUGAUGCAGCAACGCCGCGUGAGCGAUGAAGGCCUUCGGGUCGUAAAGCUCUGUCCUCGGACGAUAANGACGGUACCAAAGGAGGAAGCCACGGCUAACUACGUGCCAGCAGCCGCGGUAAUACGUAGGGGGCAAGCGUUAUCCGGANNUACUGGGCGUAAAGGGUGCGUAGGCGGUCUUUCAAGCCAGAAGUGAAAGGCUACGGCUCAACCCCAGGACUGCAUUGGAAACUGUUGUUCUAGAGUGCCGGAGAGGUAAGCGGAAUUCCUAG
rnacentral:rRNA from 1 species